UGGGUGGUUGACGUGACGCUCAAUUUUUGUGUCCACAGUGACAAAAUAACUAAAAUUUUAUAAUAUUUAAUUAAAAUUCAUGUUUUUUAUAUGCAUUUCAUUCUUCUACAUCUAAUCCAUCUGCAAACAAUGAGUAUUGUUCUUCAACUAUGCAAAUAUUCUGCUUUGAACAUGCCAUUUGUCCACCGGUGCAACUGUCCACGGUAGAAUUACUUAUCUUAAAACGUCUGUAAUUUAAUGAGAAAUUAAUCUAAAUACAUUAAAAUACUUGAAUGCAUGUCAUACGAGUGUUUACUUAAUGAAUCUAGAGGUUAUAAGUGUUAAGGUCCCUAUGUAGAGUUAUUAUGACACAUUACAUUUUGUCCACAAAACUGGUGUCCUCCUGGAGCAACGGCAUUAUGUAGAUAUAAAACAGACAUUAAUGUGACCACCCCAUUACUGAGAGGGGUCCUUCCAGAACCAGGAAGUACAGAAGACAUCACUGGAGCACAUGGACUGUACACAAGCUAGUUUGAUUUCCAAAGAGAGAGGCUGAAAUGACCACCAAGGAAAGGUCCAGGAAGUUUAGGGAGAGGCUGAAUGCGGAUUCUGAGAGGAAAGAGAACUUGCUGAGAGAGAGACGCAGAAAAUAUCAGCAGAAGAAAGCAUGCGGGAAAAUCGUUCAGCCAAGCGUGAAGUCCGUGUCGCCAGCAACACAGAAGAAGCUACAAGAGAAAUGGAGAGAGUCAAAGCGGAGAUGUAGGGCAAGGGAAAAAGCCACUAAUGCUGUCCUUGAUCUUACGCCACAAUCACCUCAGGAUCAUGACGAAGAGAUCAAUGACCCCCCAGUGGCAAGGCCAGUUAUCAAUGGAGCCUCAGUGGCAAGGCCGGUUCUGCAUGAAGUGAUCAAUGCUGUCCCAGUACCAGUACACGUUUUGUGUAGCACACCAGAGAAGUCCCCCCGAAACCAAAAUCCACCCAAAAAAAGAAGAAAAAAUAAAAUGACCAAAGAACUACGGAAACUACAAAAACAAAAUGAGAAAUUAAUGAAGGAACUUGAGGCUGAAAGAAGAAGAGUAAAUACAUUUAGGCGAAAGAAUCAACGCCUCGUGCAAAGACGGAAUAUGGAUAAACGUGCUAACAAAAAAACACAAACAAAGCGAGGAAACACUGGAAUUCAAUUAAAAAUAUAUAUUUUACCUGUGUUUUGACUGAAUUUAAAAUAAUAAAUUUGACUGUACACAACAUAGGCAUACUAGUAUUCUGUUGUCCAACGGUGCAACAAAAUGUCCUGCGGUGCGACAAAUUGAAUUGUGAGGGGAAAAGGUAUUUUAAUGAAAAAUGUAUGUAAAAAGUGUUGGAUAGUAUAACAAUGAUAUCAUCACUAUGCAGCUUUAAGGAUGAAAUGAAGAUUCCUUGAGUUUUAUACAAAUUAUAAUGAAUGUAACCCAGACAUUUGGGUUAAGUCUCUAUGUGUACAUCUUAUAGUAUAUAAAUAACAUAAUUCUGAAUUUGUUGGGGGUAUGUUUGAUGUGGAAAUAUAAUUGGGACAAACUAA